GGGUGAGUCACUAACAGUGGAGUGACUAAAGAAAAUAGUCAGCAAUGGCUGGCUAGGAGGAGGAGCUGCUACAGAGUGGAGAAGGCUGUGGCAUCAGCCAGAUCAGAAUUUGCUGUGUCACUCUUGAAUUGCAUUGCCCAGACACAGAGUUAAGAGUGUCUCAUGAUGAUAACAACAAGGGUGAAGGAGAAUUCCUCCAAGGUCCAGGUGGAGGACAAGGAAGGAAGAAGAAAACCAACAGAGGGAUGGAAGUGGGGUAAAAGGUUCAUGGGGAAACUCGAAGAACAAGCUGAAUGUUGGGAAGGCCUGGAAAUGAGCACAGGGUUCACAAACCAGGCAAGGACAAGAAAAGCUUCUGUCUUAAGGGAAAGACCCAACACCCUCACUUCUCAUGGGACAGGUGAUUGGAGAUGAGAAGAAUUUCAUCAUGUGUGGUAGAGCCUGCCAUGUUCCAUCCAUGACUUGUUCUUCUAAUCUUCCUUACAAUAAAGAUUGGUGAGAGGUAUGGCA
rnacentral:lncRNA from 1 species